rnacentral:lncRNA from 1 species
UCUGACCAAAGUUAACGUUGGAAAUUUUCAAAUACUGUAAUCAAAAUUUUUAACAAUGAGAAAAAGCGCACGAUUCUAAAACGUAGUAGCUGCGACAAGGUAUACAUAAAACAUGACUUUUAGGGGAAGCAAAAUCGAAAUCAAACACUUAAUUGGGUCUGUUUUUUUUUUUUUGAGAAAAUUUAUAUAUGGGUUAUCAUCACUGACUUUGCCAUCACUGUAUUGCUGCUGAAUCUUGGAUUUUGGUUUGAUCUUGUUGGAAAUAUUGUCUACACUUA